GUCUGAUGUGUAUAAGAGACAGUGUCGAUGCGUGGAGUGGACGGAGCAAGCUCCUAUUCCAUCUCCUAAUUCCAAAAAUCCAUUUAAUAUAUUGUCCUCGGAUAGAGGACGUAUCAGAUAUUAAACUGAUAAGAACAGAUACUACACUUGAUCUUAGCCAA